rnacentral:rRNA from 1 species
GACGAACGCUGGCGGCAUGCCUAAUACAUGCAAGUCGAGCGAACAGAUGAAGUGCUUGCACUUCUGACGUUAGCGGCGAACGGGUGAGUAACACGUAAGGAAUCUACCUAUAAGCGGGGGAUAACAUUCGGAAACGGGUGCUAAUACCGCAUAAUAUCUUCUUCCGCAUGGAAGAAGAUUGAAAGACGGCUCUGCUGUCACUUAUAGAUGACCUUGCGGUGCAUUAGUUAGUUGGUGGGGUAACGGCCUACCAAGACGAUGAUGCAUACCGGACGUGAGAGGGUGAUCGGCCACAUUGGGACUGAGACACGGCCCAAACACCUACGGGAGGCAGCAGUAGGGAAUCUUCCGCAAUGGGCGAAAGCCUGACGGAGCAGUGUCGCGUGAGUGAAGAAUGCCUUCGGGUCGUAAAACUCUGUUAUAAGAGAAGAACAAAUUGUAGAGUAACUGCUACAGUCUUGACGGUAUCUUAUCAGAAAGCCACGGCUAACUACGUGCCAGCCGCCGCGGUAA